AUGCUUCUUAACAACUGCGGUAAAAUCAAAUUCCCCUGCCUGGUGACUGGCAUGCUGUUCUUCAGCCCAGGGCUGGUGGCUCUCAGCUACCUGCUGGGCCUGCUCUCCAGGGUUGGACAGGAGCCUGUCUACACCAGCAGGCGUGUCCCAGACAAAAGGAGAGGCGAUCACGGAAAUUUUGGACCCACUGGAUGGCAGAUUUGACUGGAAGGGGGAUUGCACGGGUGUCCUGCCUCACGUGUCAUCCAGUUUCCACAGAGAAAUCCUUCGGCAUCUCCUCUCCUGAAUGCUGGACUCAAGGUUCCUAACUACAGCAGCAUUCGUAGGACCCCCUUCCUGAAUGUUCAAGACCACCGCAGGGCCUUGCGCAGACUUACAGAAUCAAGUCUUAAGAAGCUCAAACAUUUCUGCAGCCUGUUUGAUGAUGAGCUGAGACAGAAAGUGCCAGGGCUGAGCCGCAGUGCUUCUUAUUACAGUCACUGUCGGCUCUGAACCGGUUCUUGUGUGUGUGUAAGAGUGUGAAUUCUGACAACUGUAACUCUUUGGGACACGUCUAUGAAUCGUGUGCCCCACAACAAUGUCAAAUAAAGCUUGAAUUCGUGGGUUUUAUUUUAGCAAGACCUUUGCUUUCUCCACGAGACUAUAUUGUACCAAGGUCUACACUUGUACUACCGUCAGUCGUGUAAACACUGGAGCAAGCGGCAAGAAAGCC
ensembl:lincRNA